CGUGUAGGCGGCCUUUUAAGUCAGACGUGAAAUCCCUGGGCUUAACCCAGGAUCUGCGUUUGAAACUGGAGGGCUUGAGGACCGGAGAGGGUAGUGGAAUUCCCAGUGUAGCGGUGAAAUGCGUAGAUAUUGGGAGGAACACCAGUGGCGAAGGCGACUGCCUGGACGGCACCUGACGCUGAGGCGCGAAAGCCAGGGGAGCAAACGGGAUUAGAUACCCCGGUAGUCCUGGCCGUAAACGAUGGGUACUAGGUGUGGGAGGUAUCGACCCCUUCCGUGCCGCAGUUAACACAAUAAGUACCCCGCCUGGGGAGUACGGCCGCAAGGUUGAA
rnacentral:rRNA from 1 species